UCUACCUACGGGGGGCAGCAGUGGGGAAUAUUGCACAAUGGGGGAAAGCCUGAUGCAGCAACGCCGCGUGAAGGAAGACGGUUUUCGGAUUGUAAACUUCUAUCAAUAGGGAAGAAAGAAAUGACGGUACCUAAAUAAGAAGCCCCGGCUAACUACGUGCCAGCAGCCGCGGUAAUACGUAGGGGGCAAGCGUUAUCCGGAUUUACUGGGUGUAAGGGGAGCGUAGACGGCUGUGCAAGUCUGAAGUGAAAGCCCGUGGCUCAACCGCGGAACUGCUUUGGAAACUGUAUAGCUUGAGUACUGGA
rnacentral:rRNA from 1 species